rnacentral:lncRNA from 1 species
CCAUCAACUGAUGUGUAUAUGAGGAUCUAUGUUCUCAUUAAGCCCACUAUCCUUAGGAACUUGACAUGAUCAUAGUUGUACUCAAAGGAUAAGUCACCAUCAAAGUUUCAAUGUUGUGAGUCGAUAUCCUCACGGUUACUGCUAGUUGUUGAUGUUUCUUGUAAUCCACGAUUUUCAAUUUAAAAACAUAGGAGUAUGAACAAAAAGUGAUUCAUUUGAAGGACAAUGAUUUAGAUAUGUCUGGGGCUCCCUCGGGAUAAGAACCCUAAUCAUGCAUGCAUUGCAUUACCUUAAAAUGUUUACAUGACAUGAUUUGAUGAGUAAAAAUUCAAUACCACUUGUCAAAAGCUCUGGGAUUAAUGCUUUGUAUGGUCGAGAUCAGAUUGGCGUUUUGCAGGGGGACUUCAUCUUGUUAUAUAGUUCUUUGACGGUGCAUUGACCUGCAAGUUUGUAACUCCUAGUUGGUCUCCCAUUUGUUUGUCUUCCUUGAGAAAUUUCUAUCUUGAGCAUGACUCCAUGCGGCCCAUGGCGUAAUUUAGUUAAUUCGGGGAGUCUAUCGGGUAUAUGAUCUCGGGGCGCACCUUCUUAGGGUCUCCUCAGGCAUCGUAUGUAAGUAUGGUAUUUAGUUUAGUGACUGCACUAACAAUCAUCAUCAAUUCCUUUUAAAUGUUCGAAGGUGAUUAUAUGAUGAUGAUUUAGACAUGCCCCACCCCCUCCAGGGAAAGAACUAUAAUCAUGCAUGCAUUGUAUUAAUCUCAAAGGUUUACAAGAGAGGACUCGAUGAGUAAAUGUUCAAUUAAACUUGACAAAGCCUUGGGUUGAUGAUUAGCACAAUCUAGAUCAAUUUGGUGUUCUAUAGGGGGGCAUCGCCUUGUUAUAUAGUUCCAUGAUUGUGCAUCGACCUACAAGUUUGUAACUCCUUGUUUGUCUCAUGUUUGUCUGUCUACCUCAACCAAUCACCAUCUUGAACAUGACCGUGUGGCACAUGUGUAGUUUUGUUAUCUCUGGGAAUCUGUUAGGCACACGGCCCAGGGGUCGCACCUUCUUAGGGACUCCUUGGGCAUAUAUGCAAGUAUGGUAUUUAGUAAAGUGAUUGAAUAACUCAUCAUCAAUUCCUUUCAAAUGUUAGGAGGUGAUAUGAUGUUACUUAGAGGGAGGAGCAAAAGAGGAUGCCUAUUACCCUACCAUCACCUAGAUAGUUUUAUAGGAGUCUUCUAGUACAGGAAUCAUAUUGCAUUUAAUUGUGACGUGCACAACUUUCAUGGUAAGAUUGUAUUUGCUUAUGUACAAAACUUCCACAAAGUUGUGUUCUACACAAUAUUUAGAAGGUAUAUCUACAAUUUGGGGGCAACACGUAGGGUAUUGUCUAGUUUGACCAAAGAACGGGCUCAAAUAUGAAAGCAAAUUGUUUUGGCGACAUGGGGGGGGGGGACUCCUCCCAAUUCCACGUGACCCAACCUUGACCGCAACGCCAACACGGUCGUCCCACUUGGCCCCAUGCUACGCCCCGCCGCUCGUGCCACCUCUCUUCCAUAGAGAGAUGUGGAUGGGAGAGGGACCGGGGAGGAGAAGGAAGGAGAUGGGAAGGGGAAAACAAUAAUUAAAAAAGAAUUGGCCCACCAGGCCUCAUGUGUGGUGUAUGUUGGGGAUGAUGUUAUUGGGAAUCUACUAAAGGAACGCCCUCCCAAUAAUCAGAAAACUCGUAUUAGGACAACACAAUACCGUAUUAGGGAUGGAAUAAUGGGGAUUCGGUGGAUAUGCUCUAAGCAUGCAGAAUAUGUUGUGUGCUAACACUACUUGAGCUACUUGAUAUUUCUAGUCUAGAUAAUAUACACACAUAUAUAUAGCAACAACAAUCAUGGUAUAAUUAAACAAUACACAUGGAUUAUCAAGACACACCCUCUCUAUACCGACGGCACAUAUCCAUUUCAAAAUUUGUAUUACUUACAUAAGUACUAGUUAAGAUUUGACACAAAUCAUCUUAGUCAUCAUCUAAAGAAUCAAAAUUAAGUUAAAUAUAUGAAAUCCUAAGAGUUGCUACCUCAAUCCCGGGUUUGUAAGCCUCACAUAUAUUUUAAUAAAGAAUCUAACAAUUAAUUUGGUAAAAAAUAUUAAUUAUCAAAAACGGCACCAUUAGAUUCACAUUCAAGAGUAGUUUUCAAAGGUAUAAUUUUUGUGGCAUAUGAAUCAUAUUUUCUUGACCAAAUUAAUUGUCAAGGUUUUAAUUAAAGUGCAUGGGAUCCUUAUAAAAGGUGGAUGGAUGUUAGUUGCAUAUUUACUGACCUAAUAACACCACACAAUUGAUGUUUGCAUUUGCAAUACCGCUUUCCACAUCACUAGCUAAAUACCCAUGGGUUGCAACGGGGGCAACUUUAUUCUAGCGGUUUAACGUAGGAAAUUUUUGAUUGGGCUGUGACCGAUGAGCUAUGUUUUGGGGAGGGAAUCCAUAGGCAAAGGUAAGGGCAAAUAUGAUGUGAUGAGAUUCUGUACGUACAACUUUGUGAAUUGAUUUUGAUGUUUGCUUGCUAGGGAUUUGUUGCUUGUGACAAUUUAUUCGAUUUAAGUUGAUGGAUUUGCAAGACAUUUCUUUCCCCAGAAAUGAGGAGGUGGUCAUCAUUUUUUUAUUUAAAAAAAAUAGGGGGUUAUUGUGUGGUUUGAAAAAAAGACGAUGGGAGGGGCAUGUAUCAGUGGGAGGUGUGGAAGCAAAAUCAACAAACUCUCCUUUAAUAGUAGAAAUGUUUGCUUGCUAGGGAUUUGUUGCUUGUGAUGAUUUAUUCGAUUUAUGUUGAUGGAUUUGCAAGAGAUUUCUUUCCCCAUAAAUGAGGAGGUGGUCAUCAUUUUUUUUAUUUUAAAAAAGGGAGUUAUUGGGUGGUUUGGAAAAAAGACGAUGGGAGGGGCAUGUAUCAGUGGGAGGUGUGGAAGCGAAACCAACAAACUCUCCUUUAAUAGUAGAAAUGUCUUAAAUUGCACAUGCAAUCCCCUAUUAACACCAUUCUACGUAGAAAAGUGAGAAUCUUCCAAUCUAAGCCAUCAAAAUUUCAGAUCAAAGGGUGAUAUUAGUUUUGAGACAUGAACUAUACCUUCUGGUUUAGUUAUACUAAAAGGUUGUUCAAUGUACUUUUAAACAAUGCAUGUUCAGUAAUUCUAAGAGGUGAAUGUUUAGAAUGAGCCUAAAGUUAUUACAAUGUACUUGUGAAUGUCAUACUGUUUUUUAAUAUAUUAAAAAAGGGCUAAGUUCACGAAUUUACCAAAAGUAAUAGUUAAGAAUCUGCUCGUGAACUUACAUUACAAGAGAUUUAUUUUAUAUAGAGGACACAAUGCAUAUUUUCUAGUUAAAACAUACCCCCUUCGUAUCAAAAUAUAAGACCGUUUUUUGACACUGGCAGUGUAAAAAAAGUCUUAUAUUUGAUACAGAAGAAAUGAAUGGUGCAUGGUAAGAAGUUUGUUAAUUUCAAGGAAGACCAACUCCGACAUAAAUUAAGUCAACCUAAGUCAAAUGACUAGCAUGGCAUAUAUGUGUCACAUCCCGAAAACAGGAGUAAUUUUCAGCACGGCAGCUGGUGUAUUUCACGUUCACAAAAGGAAAGAAGUUACCGGAACCAAAUAAGUAAAUUAAGUGUGCGUACAAUGUCUCUGGUUGAGUUUGUGUCACUACGUAACUAUCUCAAGAUGUGUGUCAGACCUCUCUAUAUAUACAUGAACUAGAUAUAUAGUGCUAAUUACUUCGAUAGAUCGUUGUGGUCUAUGACACCUAGCUAUUGCGCAGCAUCGUCCCACAUCAAGUCAAGUAAUCUAAUGAAAGUUGUGCAUCAACAAUGGCAAUAAGAUUAAGGGGGCUGCUACACAUCCACCGGCGGAUGUUUAGUAAACAUCCGCCACCUCAACGGCCAUUGGAUGUAUCGGUGCAGCCGUCCGAUCUACGUCCCCGUACCCAAUAGUUCCUGAAACACAGGUCGAGUUGCAGAAACAAUAGCCGCGUUGCGAAAACAAUGAUCGUGCUUCAAAAAAAUCCUGAAACAACGAUCGCGUUGCAGAAAAUAAUUUACGUAACUCCUGAAACAAUGGCUGAGUUGCAGAAACCACGACCC